GUGUAAACACGUGUGUGUGCACGCUAUUAAAAAGCACAGAGGAACAUCCGCAGACUCGUUUUAAUUCCUCCAGUUCUGGUCACGCUAGCGGCGGGACAUUUCCCUCUACCUCAGAAUCGGUGUGUCAAUGAGUACGUCCAUUCUCUCUGAUGGAGUUCAACGCCACAUCCCAGUCAAGCCCAUAGGUAGGGAUGAGAAUUGAUACGAUUUUAACAAUUCCGAUGCCUUAUCGAUUCCUGCUUAUCGAUUCUUUUAUCGAUUCUUAUUGGGCAAGGGGUGAAAAAAAGAGCACAAACGGGUUUAUUUACAUUAAUUUUCUAUAAUGCUGCACACACCAUAUACAGUAUGUAUACAUACACAUUUACAUUUUUUUAAAUAACCAAAAACAUUUAUACAUAUUCCUCUUGAACUUAAAAUAAAACUUACAUAACUUAAAUAAAAUGUAUUCUGUUUAAUUUAAACAUGUUCCUAGAAAUUACAGUGCUCCUUCCUUUUUUUUAAAGGGUAUAUGAACUGAGCUGCCAAAAAUGAAACUAGCAGUGGCAAAUACCAAGUGUGCAACCAUCAAUUGUAUGGAUCAUCAACAAUUCUUGUUCAGAAAAAUAAGCAUGUCUGCUUUCUCCGGGAGGAUACGCGAUCUCUCAGGACUUAUUGUGUCUCCAGCCGUGGAGAACACUCUCUCAGAUGGGCUGGAGGAUGAACACAAAGAUAUGAGGAGGUGUCCAAGACGUGCUGUAGCCUGAGACCCAGACAGACGACCAGCCUCUGAACCGGUCUGACUCUGAACCUCAUCAGCUAAAUUGGAUGGCAAUGGAGAUUAUUUAUAUAGUGAAAGCUGGUUUACACAAUGAAACAAAUGGCACCAACAAAAUCGCUGAAUUUGCUGAGCUGAUAUAAAGCCACAUUAAGAGGGGAGGCAAACACGACCUCUGCCUCAAUGUAGGGGGCUGAAAAUGGAAGAUUCUAUAGCUAAACUAGAGUAGCUAUAUGCUAAGUUUAAUAAUGGAUUAAAAAUCGAUAUGCUCAGUUUAAUCAUGGGUUAACACGAUAACGCGAACGUUUGCUGAUAACACACGCCCUCCGAUAAUUAACACCGUUACGAUCAAACAUUUCUCAAAACUGGACUUUCAAUCCAAACGUGAAGUGAUCAAUAACGGGAGACCAAUGCCGGAGCUCAAAUGUAUGCUUCAAACGAAGGGACAGAAGAUAACUUGAUCGACUCCACACAAUAGAGGCAAAUUGCUUCACACAGUGAGUGGUUGUGAUCACUUUUGAGGAGUUUACCUUGGACAGAAAGAGAUGAAGCGCCGACGUUGGCUGAGUUGCUGCAUCGAACACAUGACAUUCCUGUCAUUUAAUUCCACGCUGUGUUCAAAUGCUUCUUCAUAUUAGUUGUAUUUCCUCCCUUCGACGAAAUAGACUUUUUACACACGUUACAAGUGGCGUAGUUGUCAUUUUGUCGUGUGAAAUAGAGCCACACUUUAGAACGCUUCUGCCUCGUUGCCAUGUUUGCUGCAGUCUGAAGAAGAAACUAAAAAAAUUCGCGCAUGCGCAACGCCACAGAGGACCGUUAGCAGAACCGUUAAAGAAUUUGGCUGACGAGCCCAAACAACCGGUUCACUGGGAACCGGUUCUAAAACAGAACCGGUUCUCGAUGCCCAUCCCUACCCAUAGGGCAUCCAUCCUGGUAGAAACCAUUCAAUCUGUGUCUAUAUUCUGUCCACCUCUAUUCUCUGCCCGACAAAACAAACUGUCCCUCCUGUGCACCACUGAGCCCCCUGCUUCAUUCACCCGUUCUGCUGAUUCAUGCUGCCUCGACUCUUCACCCGACACUGCAAUUUGAAUGACCACAAUUUGACACAAAGGCAUCAAUUACUGCGUAAUCCGUAUCACCAAAAAUGACCCUCCCCGUCUGCGAUAUCGCAGCUCGCUGGGUGUUUGUGCUUUGCCCACGGCUUGAGAUGAUAUAAUUACACAGCCGUUCAUGGCUUGUCAAAAUGCUUCUUCAAUAAUGAGCUCCUCCUCCUGACAUAAUCUAAUCCGUCACGCGACUGCACCUGCCUCCUCUCAGCCUCCUGAUACCAAUCAUUAGUAUUAGGGCAAAGAUGGGGAGGGGAUGGGGGAGGGCCAAGUGAUGCAACAGUGCUUAACAUGACUGCAAUGUUUAAAGAGAUAGGAAAAUUGAUAUUGACUGGUUAAAAUGUGUGAAAUGAGAGAGGGAGGAGGAGAUAAGGACAGUAAAUUAGUCUCAAAUGUUUAUUAUACGAGGUGGUGCUGCUGCAGUUCAAAUAGCUGGGACUUUGAGCUGCUUACAUGUCUUCAUUUAGGAGAUGAAAGGAGUUUUUUUGUGGAAAACAAAACUAUUAUGAAUCAUGUUACUGUUAGUCUGCAGUGGUGUGCCUCUUUAAGGGUUUAAAGAUGGACUAAAUACGGUGAAUCAGCACUAAAGGAUGCAGCAAAAAGUGCCAAAACCGUCCCCUUGCAGCAAUGUCUACACACAAAGUACAGGUUAGUCAUUUUGUUGUGUACUUUCUCGACAGAGAUGCCAUUUACUCGGCAUGUCUGCGAGGCAGGAGGGGUUGAUUUUAUGGUGUGUAGAUAGCAAUCCUGUUGUUCAAAGCUUGGCUGUGUGAGUCACAGUCUGUGUGCGUGUCUGUUCCUUUCUCCUUCUCUCUCUCUUGCUCAACCCCUCCCUCCCUUUUCCUGCAUCUCUCCCAAAGCUGCGUAUUAAUAAUGGAAAAGUCGAAGCUUUUGAUCAUUGGAUUUGUUCUCUGAAUGACUCACUGACAACAUGGGGAGCACGCGAUUGACUUCAAAUUGAAAUUCAUGUUUUCCUUUCCCCCCCGACAGGAAGGAAAAUGCAUCCGAGGGCUGAGGAGUCUAUAUCUAUUCCACAAAUCACAUUAUGGCUUAUUGCAUGAUUAGAAGGAAGAGAGAAAGACCCACACAGGAGCCAUGCUGCCCCUCUCAGUGGUCUGGUGGCCUAUUCAGCAUCUCCCAGUCAGGGUCCCCAAGGAUGUUGCCCCCCCCCCCCUCACGUGCACGAGGCUAACCCUCCUAUAAACCUUGUCAAGUGACCUGGUGCUCCUCUGGGAUAGGAAGUCCCACGAUCCAUUGAGAGUUGUCUGUUAAGAAGUGGGGUUUUUUUCUUCGAUUGAGCGCUCACAUAAAGUGGUUUUGACAUCU